GAUAGAACGCGUGGGCGGUCUGCUUAACACAUGCAAGUCGAACGGACCCUUCGGGGUUAGUGGCGGACGGGUGAGUAACGCGUGAGAAUCUGCCUUCAGGUCUGGGACAACAGAAGGAAACUUCUGCUAAUCCGGGAUGAGCCUUUUGGUAAAAGAGAAAAUUGCCUGGAGAUGAGCUCGCGUCUGAUUAGCUAGUUGGUGGGGUAAAAGCUUACCAAGGCGACGAUCAGUAGCCUGGUCUGAGAGGAUGAGCAGCCACACUGGGACUGAGACACGGCCCAGACUCCUA
rnacentral:rRNA from 1 species